rnacentral:rRNA from 1 species
UACGUAGGUGGCAAGCGUUAUCCGGAAUUAUUGGGCGUAAAGCGCGCGUAGGCGGUUUUUUAAGUCUGAUGUGAAAGCCCACGGCUCAACCGUGGAGGGUCAUUGGAAACUGGAAAACUUGAGUGCAGAAGAGGAAAGUGGAAAUCCAUGUGUAGCGGUGAAAUGCGCAGAGAUAUGGAGGAACACCAGUGGCGAAGGCGACUUUCUGGUCUGUAAAUGCAGAUGAUGUGCGUAAGAGUGGGGAUAAAACAGG